UGGGCUGUGGCUCAGUGGUAGAGCGCUUGCCUAGCACGUGCAAGGCCUUGGGUUCGAUCCUCAGCACCACAU
rfam:Ictidomys tridecemlineatus contig018318, whole genome shotgun sequence.